GAUGAACGCUGGCGGCGUGCUUAACACAUGCAAGUCGAACGAAGAAGAGUUGAAUGAGAGCUUCGGCAGGAUUUCUUCUCAUCUUAGUGGCGGACGGGUGAGUAACGAGUGGGCAACCUGCCCUAUACUGGGGAAUAAUCACUGGAAACGGCGACGAAUACCGCAUGUCAACACCGGAAGGCAUCCCCAGGCGAACAAAGGAGCAAUUCGGUAUAGGAUAGGCCCGCAUCUGAUUAGCUAGUUGGUGAGAUAACAGCCCACCAAGGCGACGAUCAGUAGCCGACCUGAGAGGGUGAUCGGCCACAUUGGGACUGAGACACGGCCCAAACUCCUACGGGAGGCAGCAGUGGGGAAUAUUGCACAAUGGGGGAAACCCUGAUGCAGCAACGCCGCGUGAAGGAUGAAGGUUUUCGGAUCGUAAACUUCUAUCAACAGGGAAGAAACAAAUGACGGUACCUGAAUAAGAAGCCCCGGCUAACUACGUGCCAGCCGCCGCCGUAACAC
rnacentral:rRNA from 1 species